GAGGGUGUAGCUCAUUGGUAGAGCAUGCACUUAGCAUGCACGAGGGCCUGGGUUCAAUCCCCAGUACUGCCA
rnacentral:tRNA from 1 species